ensembl:misc_RNA Metazoa_SRP Metazoan signal recognition particle RNA
GCUGAGCACGGUGUCAUGUGCCUUUAGUCCCAGCUACUCGGGAGGCUGAGGUGGGACAACUGCUUGAGCCCAGGAGUUCUGGGCUGUAGUGCACUAUGCCAAUCGGGUGUCCGCACUAAGUUCGGCGUCAAUAUGGUGACCUCUUGGGAUUGGGGGACCGCCAGGUUGCCUAAAGAGGAGUGAACUGGCCCAGGUCAGAAAUGGAGCAGAUUAAAACUCCUGUGCCGAUCAGUAGUGGGAUCGCACCUGUGAAUAGCCACUGCACUCCAGCCUGGGCAACAUAGUGAGACCCCAUCUCUA